UGCGGGGUAGAGCAGUCUGGUAGCUCGUCGGGCUCAUAACCCGAAGGUCGUUGGUUCGAAUCCAGCUCCCGCUACCA
rnacentral:tRNA from 1 species